AACAAAGGGAAAGAACAUACUUGAAAUCUAAGCAGUCGAGGUUGAAUGGCGACGAGCGUUGGCGGGUGUUGAGCAAACUUAAUUAAUAAGAUGGAUAUUUUGAACCUUGAGUAUAGUCGUGUCUUCAUACAUGGCUUCACUUUCUCUUGGAUGCUUCCGCUAAAUUUCGAAACUCAUUAUUACCACUUAGUCAUUUUGAACUUAUUUUUCCCCUUGGCUUAGACGAUUGAGACAUGUCGUGGAUUUUGUUGAGCUUAUGUCAAACCCUUGUUUUUGGAUUGUAGUUUAUGACAUCCUUUCUCCUUUGACUUUCUUGUUAAACCCUUGACUUUGAUCGUCAUUUAUGAUUAUCUAAUCUUCAUUGAUU